rnacentral:rRNA from 1 species
AUUGAACGCUGGCGGCAUGCUUUACACAUGCAAGUCGAACGGUAACAGGCCUUCGGGUGCUGACGAGUGGCGAACGGGUGCGUAAUGCAUCGGAACGUACCCAGAGGUGGGGGAUAACGCAGCGAAAGCUGUGCUAAUACCGCAUGUGAUCUGAGGAUGACAGCGGGGGACCGAGCAGCAAUGUUUGGCCUCGCGCCUUUGGAGCGGCCGAUGUCGGAUUAGCUAGUUGGUGGGGUAAAGGCCUACCAAGGCGACGAUCCGUAGCUGGUCUGAGAGGACGACCAGCCACACUGGGACUGAGACACGGCCCAGACUCCUACGGGAGGCAGCAGUGGGGAAUUUUGGACAAUGGGCGCAAGCCUGAUCCAGCAAUGCCGCGUGCGGGAAGAAGGCCUUCGGGUUGUAAACCGCUUUUGGCAGGAACGAAACGGUGUCCGCUAAUACCGGGCGCUAAUGACGGUACCUGCAGAAUAAGCACCGGCUAACUACGUG